AGCAGGGAGUAGCAAUACUUCGCUGGCGACCGGCAAACGGGUGCGGAACACGUACACAACCUUCCUUUUAGUGGGGAAUAGCCCAGGGAAACUUGGAUUAAUACCCCGUAAUAUAUAGAGAUGGCAUCAUUUCUAUAUUAUAGCUCCGGCGCUAGAUGAUGGGUAUGCGGCUGAUUAGAUAGUUGGCGGGGUAACGGCCCACCAAGUCUACGAUCAGUAGCUGAUGUGAGAGCAUGAUCAGCCACACGGGCACUGAGACACGGGCCCGACUCCUACGGGAGGCAGCAGUAAGGAAUAUUGGUCAAUGGACGCAAGUCUGAACCAGCCAUGCCGCGUGGAGGAUGAAGGUCCUCUGGAUUGUAGACUUCUUUUAUAAGGGACGAAAAAAGAUUAUUCUUAAUCACUUGACGGUACCUUAUGAAUAAGCACCGGCUAACUCCGUGCCAGCAGCCGCGGUAAUACGGAGGGUGCAAGCGUUAUCCGGAUUCACUGGGUUUAAAGGGUGCGUAGGCGGGCAGGUAAGUCAGUGGUGAAAUCUCAGAGCUUAACUCUGAAACUGCCAUUGAUACUAUCUGUCUUGAAUGUUCUGGAGGUAAGCGGAAUAUGUCAUGUAGCGGUGAAAUGCUUAGAUAUGACAUAGAACACCCAUUGCGAAAGCAGCUUACUACGGAAAUAUUGACGCUGAGGCACGAAAGCGUGAGGAUCAACAGAUUAGAUACCCUGGUAGUUCACGCCCUAAACGAUGGAUACUCGACAUA
rnacentral:rRNA from 1 species